rnacentral:rRNA from 1 species
GACGAACGCUGGCGGCGUGCUUAACACAUGCAAGUCGAACGGAAAGGCCUGCUUUCCCUUGUGGAUUGCGGGUACUCGAGUGGCGAACGGGUGAGUAACACGUGAGUGAUCUGCCCCCAACUUGGGUAUAAGCCUGGGAAACUGGGUCUAAUUCCCGAUAGGACUGCAGGGUGGUGCCUGUGGUGGAAAACGAUUUUUUAGUGGUUGGGGAUGAGCUCGCGGCCUAUCAGCUUGUUGGUGGGGUAAUGGCCUACCAAGGCGGCGACGGGUAGCCGGCCUGGGAGGGUGGACGGCCACAUUGGGACUGGGAUACGGCCCAGACUCCUACGGGAGGCAGCAGUGGGGAAUAUUGCACAAUGGGCGGAAGCCUGAUGCAGCGACGCCGCGUGGGGGAUGACGGCCUUCGGGUUGUAAACUCCUUUCGACCGCGAGGAAGCCACCUGGUUGGAAGGGUGGUGACGGUAGUGGUAGAAGAAGCACCGGCUAACUACGUG